UAUUGCACAAAUUGUGUUCAUCU
rnacentral:miRNA from 1 species